rnacentral:rRNA from 1 species
UACGAAGGGGGCGAGCGUUGUUCGGAUUUACUGGGCGUAAAGCGCACGUUAGGCGGUUUGUUUAAGUCAGAGGUGAAAUCCCGGAGCUCAACUCCGGAACUGCCUUUGAUACUGGCAAGCUAGAGUCCGGAAGAGGUAAGUGGAACUCCUAGUGUAGAGGUGGAAUUCGUAGAUAUUAGGAAGAACACCAGUGGCGAAGGCGGCUUACUGGUCCGGAACUGACGCUGAGGUGCGAAAGCGUGGGGAGCAAACAGG